rnacentral:rRNA from 1 species
UACGAACCGUGCGAACGUUAAUCGGAUUCAUUGGGCUUAAAGGGCGCGUAGGCGGCGGCGUAAGUUCGUGGUGAAAUCCCAUCGGCUCAACCGUGGAAUUGCUUCGAAUACUGCGUCGCUCGAGGGAGAUAGGGGACCGCAGAACUGCCGGUGGAGCGGUGAAAUGUGUUGAUAUCGGCGGGAAUGCCAGUGCCGAAAGGGGCGGUCUGGACCUCUUCUGACGCUGAGGCGCGAAAGCUAGGGGAGCGAACGGG